UGAGAAUGUAAAAUUUUAAUUAAAAAAUUAAUAGUUAUGAUCUUUAAAUUUAAAAAAUUUGGCGGUAUUUUAGUCUAUUCAGAGGAACCUGUUCUAUAAUUGAUAAUCCACGAUUAGAAAUACUUAAUUUAAAAGUUUGUAUAUCGUUGUUUAAAUAAUUUUAUAAGAAAAAAAAGUAUUAAGAUAUUUAAUUAAAUAAAUAAUCAAAUCAAGGUGCAGUUUAUAUUUAAGAAGAAAUGGGUUACAAUAAAAAUUAUUUAUAUGAAUUAUAUUAUUAAAUUAAUAUAUAAAGGAGGAUUUGAUAGUAAAUAUAUAUAUAUAUAUAUAUUGAUUUAAGCUCUAUAAUAUGU
rnacentral:rRNA from 1 species